rnacentral:rRNA from 1 species
AUUGAACGCUGGCGGAAUGCUUUACACAUGCAAGUCGAACGGCAGCACGGACUUCGGUCUGGUGGCGAGUGGCGAACGGGUGAGUAAUGUAUCGGAACGUGCCCAGUCGUGGGGGAUAACGUAGUGAAAAUUACGCUAAUACCGCAUACGAUCUAUGGAUGAAAGCGGGGGAUCGAAAGACCUCGAGCGAUUGGAGCGGCCGAUAUCAGAUUAGGUAGCUGGUGGGGUAAAGGCCCACCAAGCCAACGAUCUGUAGCUGGUCUGAGAGGACGACCAGCCACACUGGAACUGAGACACGGUCCAGACUCCUACGGGAGGCAGCAGUGGGGAAUUUUGGACAAUGGGCGAAAGCCUGAUCCAGCCAUUCCGCGUGCAGGAUGAAGGCCCUCGGGUUGUAAACUGCUUUUGUACAGAACGAAAAGGUUUCUACUAAUACUAGGAGCUCAUGACGGUACUGUAAGAAUAAGCACCGGCUAACUACGUGCCAGCCGCCGCAGUAA